rnacentral:rRNA from 1 species
UGGCUCAGAACGAACGCUGGCGGCAUGCCUUACACAUGCAAGUUGAACGGCAGCAUGGAGGAGCUUGCUCCUCUGAUGGCGAGUGGCGAACGGGUGAGUAAAGCAUCGGGACGUGCCGUGUAGUGGGGGAUAACGUAGCGAAAGUUACGCUAAUACCGCAUACGCACCGAGGUGGAAAGCAGGGGAUCGCAAGACCUUGCGCUAUACGAGCGGCCGAUGUCAGAUUAGCUAGUUGGUAGUGUAAAGGCCUACCGAAAAGACGAUCUGUAGCGGGUCUGAGAGGAUGAUCCGCCAC